rnacentral:rRNA from 1 species
GUCGACCCCUAAGGCGAGGCCGAAAGGCGUAGUCGAUGGGAAACAGGUUAAUAUUCCUGUACUUGGUGUUACUGCGAAGGGGGGACGGAGAAGGCUAUGUUGGCCGGGCGACGGUUGUCCCGGUUUAAGCGUGUAGGCUGGUCUUCCAGGCAAAUCCGGAAAAUCAAGGCUGAGGCGUGAUGACGACGCACUACGGUGCUGAAGCAACAAAUGCCCUGCUUCCAGGAAAAGCCUCUAAGCAUCAGGUAACAUCAAAUCGUACCCCAAACCGACACAGGUGGUCAGGUAGAGAAUACCAAGGCGCUUGAGAGAACUCGGGUGAAGGAACUAGGCAAAAUGGUGCCGUAACUUCGGGAGAAGGCACGCUGAUAUGUAGGUGAAGCGACUUGCUCGUGGAGCUGAAAUCAGUCGAAGAUACCAGCUGGCUGCAACUGUUUAUUAAAAACACAGCACUGUGCAAACACGAAAGUGGACGUACACGGUGUGACGCCUGCCCGGUGCCGGAAGGUUAAUUGAUGGGGUUAGCGCAAGCGAAGCUCUUGAUCGAAGCCCCGGUAAACGGCGGCCGUAACAAUAACGGUCCUAAGGUAGCGAAAUUCCUUGUCGGGUAAGUUCCGACCUGCACGAAUGGCGUAAUGAUGGCCAGGCUGUCUCCACCCGAGACUCAGUGAAAUUGAACUCGCUGUGAAGAUGCAGUGUACCCGCGGCAAGACGGAAAGUCCCCGUGAACCUUUACUAUAGCUUGACACUGAACAUUGAGCCUUGAUGUGUAGGAUAGGUGGGAGGCUAGAAGUGUGGACGCCAGUCUGCAUGGAGCCGACCUUGAAAUACCACCCUUUAAUGUUUGAUGUUCUAACGUUGACCCGUAAUCCGGGUUGCAGACAGUGUCUGGUGGGUAGUUUGACUGGGGCGGUCUCCUCCUAAAGAGUAACGGAGGAGCACGAAGGUUGGCUAAUCCUGGUCGGACAUCAGGAGGUUAGUGCAAUGGCAUAAGCCAGCUUGACUGCGAGCGUGACGGCGCGAGCAGGUGCGAAAGCAGGUCAUAGUGAUCCGGUGGUUCUGAAUGGAAGGGCCAUCGCUCAACGGAUAAAAGGUACUCCGGGGAUAACAGGCUGAUACCGCCCAAGAGUUCAUAUCGACGGCGGUGUUUGGCACCUCGAUGUCGGCUCAUCACAUCCUGGGGCUGAAGUAGGUCCCAAGGGUAUGGCUGUUCGCCAUUUAAAGUGGUACGCGAGCUGGGUUUAGAACGUCGUGAGACAGUUCGGUCCCUAUCUGCCGUGGGCGCUGGAGAACUGAGGGGGGCUGCUCCUAGUACGAGAGGACCGGAGUGGACGCAUCACUGGUGUUCGGGUUGUCAUGCCAAUGGCACUGCCCGGUAGCUAAAUGCGGAAGAGAUAAGUGCUGAAAGCAUCUAAGCACGAAACUUGCCCCGAGAUGAGUUCUCCCUGUCCCUUUAAGGGUCCUGAAGGAACGUUGAAGACGACGACGUUGAUAGGCCGGGUGUGUAAGCGCAGCGAUGCGUUGAGCUAACCGGUACUAAUGAACCGUGAGGCUUAACUU